CCGACGUCUGGGCAUCUCCCAGCCGGGAGGCCCCAGCCCGCCCCCCCAGGAUGUAAGGUCCCAGCCCCGCAGCUUUCUUUCUGCAAGGCUUUGCAGCUGCAAGCACCUUCUCAGAGUAAUAUGGCCAGCUAAGGAACUAGCCUUCAGAGAUACAUUUCCUUUUCAAGCUACGGCGGCUUCUGUUAAAGAAGAUAUCGAGCGGGCAUUUGCUGUGUGCAGAGAAUGGAACAAAUGGGAAUGGCGUCCUGUAACAGAGCAGAUAAGCCUGGAGUGCGGAAAGGUUGCCGACGUCUGCUGGAGCCUUUCUCUCAGGCACCUCAGAAACCCUUCUCUCUCUGUACCAUUUUGGAAGUGUGGAACGGGUGGCCUUCCCAGCUCUUCAGGAAGAUGAUUCUUCUGCAGUGACCUUAGAUCGCUGGCUAAAGGCUCUGCUCCUUGUAGUAUCUAUUCCUCCUACCGAGUCUCUGUGGGGAAGCUUGCCACUGAAAGAACUCAGCUCAAUCCAACAUAGGAAAAAACAAGCAGAAGAAAAACUAAAAAUAAGGGAUCUGUUGGGAAAACAGUGUCAAAAUUCCGGAGUAGAAGGAAGAGAACUCAGGGCAGGAAGCGCCCAAGAAGCCAAGGACUGGAGUCAGAGGCUCACUGUUGCCAAGUUCUUUCUUUGUCUUUAUUCUUUACUUCCUGUUCCUCUGUCUUUGGAUUUCUUCCCCCUUUCCCCUUCCCCUUUCUCUCCCUCUUUAGUAGCCUCUUAGGAACUUUCUUUUAAAAAACAUUUAUUCUAAAUUUUGUGAAUGUAUGUACAUCUGUGUAAAUGGACAGGGCAAUUCCCACAGGGGGAUCAGAUCUCCCUUCUGAUGGAGUGACAGGCAGGUGUGAGCCACCUCACCUGGGUCCUCUACAGUGGCAGCACAUGCUCUUAACUGCUACUCUCGCCAACCCCUCCUAGGGGACCGGUGAACCACCACUUGUCCACUGGUAAUAGCCAUCCCCUAGUCAUACCUCCCUAAACCCCACUUCACACUUGCUCCGCCCCAAACUCUUCCUCCCAUCCCACACUGCAUCCCUUCAUUCAUACCUAAGACUCCUAGGGGUCUCACCAGUUUAACAUAACUCAAACGCCUGAGUUUAAAUCCUCUUUCGAGAGACAGGGCAAAUUCUACACUGUACGUCCCUGUAAAAUCAAAGAGAACAUUACACCUCUCCAAUAUGCAAUGGUACCUGUGAGGAAACAAAUAAUAAUUAUAAUAAUAAUAAUAUAAAAUAACAUAAAAGUUAUAAAAGUGUAUGAAUAGACUUUCUGAUCUUUUUGGUCUCAGCAUUUCAAGGGAAUUAUUUAGAGUGAUCUGAGUCCAUUCGCUCUACUUUGGACACCACUGGUCUGCAAGAUAAAGCACAAAGCUCAUUAAAGAUGAAUGUGGGGGCUGGGGAUUUAGCUCAGUGGUAGAGCGCUUACCUAGGAAGCGCAAGGCCCUGGGUUCGGUCCCCAGCUCCGAAAAAAAGAACCAAAAAAAAAAGAUGAAUGUAGAAGAACAAUUUAUAUUUCUUUUUAUUGUCUAAAAUAAUAUUUUAUGAUUACUACUUAUUUUGAAAAGAAAUGAUUGCAUUCUCUUCCAGUUUAAAAACUAAAUAAGAAACAUC